AAAAGAAAGUGAUUAUGUUGGUAUGAGUAGCGAAAAUAAUGUAAAAACAUUAUUAUCGACAUAGAUCCAAGGUUUUUUAUGCAAUGUUUGCCAUCAUAAAAUAAAGUCGAUUUCUAAAAAUUUUUUGCCAAUGCAAAUUUUAAUGAUAAAUUUUAAAUAAUUCACUAUUAAAAAAAACACAAAAAACAAAUGCACAUGAAAUAAAUGAUUUUUCUGCUGCUUCUUUUUUUUUACCAAGAAAUAUUUUUUUAUAUAAUACUAAUCGUACUAAGCCAACACAGGUGGGUUUGUUUUAAUGAAACAAUAGAUAUUUGAAUCAACCAUUUUUAAGGAACUAGGCAAAUUAAACCUGUAACUUAGGGAAAAGGGCCGCCUAUUUAAACAUAGGCAAAAUAAAAAAUAGAAAGCGACUAGUUAAUAAAACUACAAGAUUUUGCAAAAUUGGAAAAUGCUGUAUAAAAUCUGAUGCCUGCCCAGUGCUAGAAUAUCAAAUCAAAAAGUUCAUGCUUUUAAAAUAAGUGCUAGUAAACGGCGGUUGUAACUAUAACAAUCAUAAAGUAGCGAAAUUCAUUGGCAAAUAAUUGUUGCCCUGCAUGAAUGGCAUAACGACUAUCUAACUGUCUCAAAAAUAGAUUCAGUGAAAUUCAAAUUUGUGUGAAGAUGCACAAAAAUCAAAAUUAGACGAAAAGACCCUAUAAACCUUUACUAUGCAUUUAUAUUGUUAUAGUAUUUUAAUUGUGUAGCAAUAAGUGGUAGUAUAAUUUAAUUAUACAAAAUUGAAAAACCACUCAUAUUAAAAUAGUAAACUAAUUUUAAAAAACGUAUAAAUUUGAUAGUUUAACUGGGGAGGUUUUCUUCUAAAUUGUAACGAAGAACUACAAAGGCAUUUUCAAAUUCUGUUGAAAUGAAUUUUUAAAUAUAAUGGUUAAAAUUUGCUUGAUUGUAAGAUUAAUAAAUCGAACAAAAAUGAUUAAUUUUCGUUUGUCAUAUUGAUCCAAUUGUUUUUUAUGGAAAAAUAAUUGCUUAAGAGAUAAUAGGUACUUUAAGGAUAACAGGCUUAUAUUUUUUGCGAGUUCACAUCAAAAAAAAUGUUUGGCACCUCGAUGUCGAUUCAUCAGAUCUUAGUGCUGGAAAAGGUAUUUUAAGUUUGGCUGUUCGCCAUUUAAUAUGAUACGUGAAUUGGGUUUAGAACAUUGUAAAAUAGUUCGGUCUCUAUCUAUUUUGAUUGUUUUAGUAUUUAAAAAAUUUAUAUUUAGUACGAGAGGACCAAUAU
rnacentral:rRNA from 1 species